rnacentral:rRNA from 1 species
UACGGAGGAUGCAAGCGUUAUCCGGAAUGAUUGGGCGUAAAGCGUCCGCAGGUGGCUGUGUAAGUCUGCUGUUAAAGAGUGAGGCUCAACCUCAUAAAGGCAGUGGAAACUACAUCGCUAGAGUGCGUUCGGGGCAGAGGGAAUUCCUGGUGUAGCGGUGAAAUGCGUAGAGAUCAGGAGGAACACCGGUGGCGAAGGCGGAUCUCUGGGCCUUACCUGACGCUGAGGCGCGAAAGCUAGGGGAGCGAACAGG